GGAACACGUGUUUGUUCUCGGCCACCAAGAGCAAGUAUUUUCAAGGUCUCCACCGAUGAUUCAUCAGGAUGAGACCCAGCCGGGACACUAGGGAGGAGCGGCUUAAGCAAGGGAGGCUACAUAUACGACAGCUUCUUGCGGACAAGAAACGAAAAUAGAUAGAUGUUUCCACGGCCCACAAGCCAGCAGGCGCCAGUUCGUUCU